rnacentral:tRNA from 1 species
ACCCGGUUAGCAAACUGGUCGUAUGCGCCUCUCCUACAAAGAGGUGGGGAGUGUUCGAUUCACUCACUGGGUACCA